GUGUCAGCAGCCGCGGUAAUACGGAGGGGGCAAGCGUUGUUCGGAAUUACUGGGCGUAAAGGGCGCGUAGGCGGCUUUUUAAGUCGGUGGUGAAAUCCCGUGGCUCAACUGCGGAAUGGCCAUCGAUACUGGAAAGCUUGAAUCCGGAAGAGGUCGGCGGAAUUACUGGUGUAGCGGUGAAAUGCGUAGAUAUCAGUAGGAACACCGAUGGCGAAGGCAGCUGGCUGGACCGGUAUUGACGCUGAGGCGCGAAAGCGUGGGGAUCAAACAGGAUUAGAAACCCUCGUAGUCC
rnacentral:rRNA from 1 species